CAGUAGCCGCGGUAAUACGGAGGGGGCUAGCGUUGUUCGGAAUUACUGGGCGUAAAGCGCACGUAGGCGGCUUUGUAAGUUAGAGGUGAAAGCCCGGAGCUCAACUCCGGAAUUGCCUUUAAGACUGCAGAGCUAGCUGGUGAGAGAGGUGAGUGGAAUUCCGAGUGUAGAGGUGAAAUUCGUAGAUAUUCGGAAGAACACCAGUGGCGAAGGCGACUGACUGGACAAGUAUUGACGCUGAGGUGCGAAAGCGUGGGGAGCAAACAGGAUUAGAUACCCCAGUAGUCCCUGUCUCUUAUAC
rnacentral:rRNA from 1 species